rnacentral:rRNA from 1 species
GACGAACGCUGGCGGCGUGCUUAACACAUGCAAGUCGAACGAAGUGGCGAACGGGUGAGUAACGCGUAAUCAACCUGCCCUUCAGAGGGGGAAAACAGUUGGAAACGACUGCUAAUACCGCAUACUGCAGUGGGUGAUUUCGUUGGAUUAGCUAGUUGGAGGGGUAACGGCCCACCAAGGCGAUGAUCAGUAGCCGGUCUGAGAGGGUGAACGGCCACAUUGGGACUGAGACACGGCCCAGACUCCUACGGGAGGCAGCAGUGGGGAAUCUUCCGCAAUGGACGGAAGUCUGACGGAGCAACGCCGCGUGAGUGAAGACGGCCUUCGGGUUGUAAAGCUCUGUUAAUCGGGACGCGGUACCGGAAUAGAAAGCCACGGCUAACUACGUGCCAGCAGCCGCGGUAAUUC